AUGUCUCAGCCAUAUUUCGUCUCGUGCGCAACGGUUGUAAAUCAUUAUUGCUCCCACCAGAUACUUUUCUUUUCCUCUUUUUAAUGCUUCUUGUGCGAGUUUGUGGGCACAAUCAUUUUCUGAUCUAUGAACAAAAUGGAAAUCAAUUUCUUGAAAAUGGUCAUUUUUGCUUUGAAUAUCUCUAAUAAUCGCCCCAAUAAUUGAUUUAUCUGGUGCUGUUAUUUUACAUUUCGUAAUGACCAUUCUUGAAUCCCCCAUAAUUACUACUGAGUUAAAACCCAUUGAGAUUUCUAAUUUAAUGGCUUGUAAACCUGCAUGUGCCUCUACCGUAAAUGGAGAUGGGAUUGCCUUAUGUAUGACUGUCUUUGAGACUAAAGUCUCGCCCAUCAAGCCCGAACCACCAAACUCAAAGCCGAUUUGAAAGAUCUUCUGUCAAAAGCUGCAUCGAAAUAAAUUACCACCCUCGUGUUCCCUUCAUGUUAUCUCUACCUUCUAUCAACACAUGAGGUAAACGUCCUUUUCUCUAGACCAUCUAGCUCUACCAUGUAGCUUUGGAUUCGCUUCGACAAAUCCUUUCCCGUUAUGACUUUCCCCUCGUGUAUUAGCUGAUUUCUUGAACUCCAGAUUGACCAUAAAGCACAGCAAAAAAGUCGAUAUUGUUUACUAAUACUCAUGUUGAAAACUCAGGUAAGCCACUCCCAUAAACUUGGAAUAGUAUUAUUGAUAAUCCAAGAGAGAUUUAAAGUCUGCCAUACCUCUAUUGUUGUAGGGCAGUCCUGGAAAACAUGAUUGCUGUCUUCUUCUGAAUUAUGACACUAAAGACAAAAAAAUUCACUGCCACUCUUUUGUGUCUGAGAUUAAUUAGAGUAGGGACAUAGUUCCAGGAGAUUCACAAUAUUGUGAUUGUAAUUUUUAAAGGAAGAUGUAAAUUCCAUAAUUUCUUGUAGAAAUCUUUAAUCUCGACCUUUAUUAAAUUAGUACUAGAAUCUAAGUUAGCCUUUUGUAAUAG
rnacentral:lncRNA from 1 species